UAUAUGUAUAUAUAUAUAUAUGUAUAUAUAUAUAUAAGCACAACAUCUUUAUUUAGUUUCUCAUAGUUAUGUAUAUUUAUAUUUUAAUAUAUUAUAAGUAUAAAGAUAGAAAUACUUAGCGGGAUAAAUGGGGGUGCUCUCCCCCAAGCUGAAUUUUGACGUAAUUUCUUCUGAUGUAGCUAGCAGGUGGCAGAGGUGUAUUUAAAAGUCGGCAGCACCCUGACAGCGAUUAGAAUGUCCUCCGUCUGCUAGUCUUCUUGAUUCUUAAAUUCUGUGGAGCUCAAAUAGACAACAAAGCUUUGUGGAACUGAUUGAGUGUUAGCAUAAAUAUCUAGCCUUUAUCAUGUUGAGCUUCCUCAAUAAAUGUUACUCUCUAUUUUUUUUAUUUUCAUUUUAUAAAGUAGAAAAAAUAUUUAUUUUAUUUUUAUGCCACCACAGUGAAUGUACUUAUGGGUUUUAUGCCACUCGUAUACUCACAUGGGGCUUACUGUUUUUUAACAUUUUUAUUUUCUUUUUAGGAUAGUAUGAACAUGAUUAACUAAGCAAACUAUUUUAAAUAAUUUGAAAGGAAAAGGAUAACAACCAAGUUUACCUCUUGGCAAGGCGUUCGGUGUUUUUAAGUCCUCUGAACGGGACUCUUUGUUUUCUCAGUUGUCCUGGGAUUCGUUGGAUGGCGUAGUCGGUGCUUCCGGCGGCGCCUCCUCUUCGUGUAUGGUUAUCUUCUCUCUCCACACCUGUCUUGGUGCUACGGUCUCCUCUGGAUAAUUCUGUUUAAACUGUAUGUCUUCAGACCUUACCACUUCUCCGGUUCCAAUGUAGAUGAUUGCUUUAACGGUGCUGAGGAAUGGUCUUCCAAGGAUGAUGGGUGGAUCGUACUCAUCUUCUCCCAUGUCAAUAACCUAAAAGUCUGUAUAGACAAAAUGAUCGUCUAUUUUGACAGGGACAUCAGUUACUAUACCUUUAACCUCUCGAAAUGUCGGAUCUGCCAUCUGGAGCUGAAUGUAUGUUGGUUUUAGGGGCAUGGUUCCGAACAAGAGCCGAUAGGUGACUGCGGCCAUUAUGUUAAUGCUCGAUCCGGUGUCACAAGUCGUCUUGUAGAAGUUGUAUCCAUUUAUGAAGCAAUAGAUGCUUGGCAUUCCUGGGUCGUCCUUUUUGGUCAGAAACGGUGACUUAAAUUGAUGAUCUUGACCUCCUUGAACUGUAGUGACCAUCUUAGCUGACUCGGUCCACACUUGCUUGUUCCUAUUCCUCCUGUUGGUCCUAUUCCUUGGUUCAUGUCAGGAUUGCUCCGGGAUUUGUGUAAUCUUGUUCUUGAAGGAAAAUGCCUCCUUCCUCCCUUUGAUGUAGAAACUGAUCUUGACAGCACUAGCGUAGAUGACAGCUCCUGAGGUGUUCAAGAAUGGCCUCCCUAAGAUAAUGGGUGCCCUCUCAUCAUUACCGAUCUUUAUUACCACGAAGUCUGCUGGGGCGUACAAGGUACCAACUCAGACAUAGAGGUUCUUCAAUAUUCCUUUUGGAAAACUUAUCGUCUGAUCUGCAAACUGCAAACACAUGGUUGUUUCUGAUAAAGGAUAUGUAAAGAAUUUUUCAUAGAGUACCCUGGGCUUGACGCUAGAGCCAAAGUCGCAGAGUGCUUCUGGGAAGUCCACCAUGCCGAUGGAGAUCGGAAUGACGGGGCGUCCUGGAUCGCCUCUCUUGACCGGCAGAAGGUCAAUAGUAACUUCAGUGAUGGGGUUACUCCAGUAGUUACCUGCUUCAAACAUGUCUACAAGAUUUGCAGAUCUAAUCCUUCCGGUUGUGAUGGUAUACCGGGGUUAGUAGCAGAAACAACAGCAGCUAUUUGAUUUAACUGAGAUUCAAUCAUUUUAUUAAAGCUAAUUUGAUUCUUGAUGGCAGU
rnacentral:lncRNA from 1 species